AACAGGACCCCAUCCUCAGCAAGAGCAGGGGUGCCCUUAAACACUAAGCCAUCUUUUUAGUCUCCCAUAGAUAUUUUUAGAAAUAAAAAACUCACCUGCUUCAUGGUGCAUACUCUUCCUCUCGGUGUGAUGAGAUCUGCAGCCGUCCUGCUGUGACCCACCUCGGAUGACAAUCACCUCUUUGUUCAUCAUCCACAGGCUUUCAAGUCCCUCUGUCACAACAUGUUCAGGACCAGCUGGGACAGUUAAGACUUAAACGUUUCAUCCAAUGGCACCCGCUAGCCCCAGGAUGAUAUCUGCCGUGCCACACUGAACUUUGCCUGCGGUCUAGGUAGUCUCUCAAUGCUGCCCACCUUUUGUUCAAGGCUUCUGCCACCCUGCACAGUUUACAGCUCACGUCCUCCUCCAUCUUUCUGCUAAAUGUCCUUUGUCACCCACUUAUGCUCCUCCAAGAGAUCCACAAAUCCCAGCUUCACUGACCUUGGGUUUGCCUGUGUGAGUAGCUUUAACCAAUGAAUUGUGGGUGGAUGUGCAGAAGCUAAAGGACAUUGGGGGCUGUGCUGGGCUGUGCUGGGCUGUGCUGGGCUGUGCUGUGCUGUGCUGUGCUGUGCUGUGCUGUACUGUGCUGGGCUGGGCUGUGCCAUGGUAGGCUGGGCUGGGCUAUGCUGUGCUGGGCUGGGCUGGGCUGGGCUGGGCUGUGCCAUGGUAGGCUGGGCUGGGCUAUGCUGGGCUGUGCUAGGCUGGGCUGUGCCAUGGUAGGCUGGGCUGGGCUAUGCUGUGCUGGGCUGGAGUUCAGGGCAACUCUCUCCC
rnacentral:lncRNA from 1 species